rnacentral:rRNA from 1 species
GAUGAACGCUGGCGGCGUGCUUAACACAUGCAAGUCGAACGGAAAGGCCCUGCUCUUGUGGGGUUCUCGAGUGGCGAACGGGUGAGUAACACGUGAGUAACCUGCCCUUGUCUUUGGGAUAACUUCAGGAAACUGGGGCUAAUACCGGAUAGGAGCUCCUGCUGCAUGGUGGGGGUUGGAAAGUUUCGGCGGUUGGGGAUGGACUGGCGGCUUAUCGGCUUGUUGGUGGGGUAGUGGCUUACCCAGGCUUUGACGGGUAGCCGGCCUGAGAGGGUGACCGGCGACAAUGGGACUGAGGUAGGGCCCAGACUGGUACGGGAGGCAGCAGUGGAGAGUAUGACACAGUGGGCGGGAGUGUGAGGAGGAGACGCUGCGUUCGUGAUGCCGGCCUUCUGGUUGUGAACCGCUUUCGCCUGAGACGAAGCGUGAGUGACGGUAACGAGUAAAGAAGCACCGGCUAACUACGUG